rnacentral:lncRNA from 1 species
GGAUCCGCCGGGCGGCCUGAGACGCGGCGCGAGCCACAUGCGAGCGGGCGCCUGGCGGCGGCGGCGGCGGCACCAGCGAUCCCAGCAGCGGCCACGACGCGGACGCGCCUGCGGCCCGGGGAGCAGCAGCAGCCACAGCCACAGCAGCCGCCACUGCAGUUAGAGCGGCAGCAGCAGCGACAGCCACAGCAGCAGCCGCCGCGGAGAGCGGCGCUCGGCGGGCGCGCCCUCCUGAAGGAAGCCGCCCGCCCCCCACCGCCGCCCCCUCCGGCGUGUUCAUGCCCCCGGGGUCCUCAGCCCUCGCUCUCGCUGGCGGAGCAGCACCUGGAGUCGCCCGUGCCCAGCGCCCCGGGGGCUCUGGCGGGCGGUCCCACCCAGGCGGCCCCGGGAGUCCGCGGGGAGGAGGAACAGUGGGCCCGGGAGAUCGGGGCCCAGCUGCGGCGGAUGGCGGACGACCUCAACGCACAGUACGAGCGGCGGAGACAAGAGGAGCAGCAGCGGCACCGCCCCUCACCCUGGAGGGUCCUGUACAAUCUCAUCAUGGGACUCCUGCCCUUACCCAGGGGCCACAGAGCCCCCGAGAUGGAGCCCAAUUAGGUGCCUGCACCCGCCCGGUGGACGUCAGGGACUCGGGGGGCAGGCCCCUCCCACCUCCUGACACCCUGGCCAGCGCGGGGGACUUUCUCUGCACCAUGUAGCAUACUGGACUCCCAGCCCUGCCUGUCCCGGGGGCGGGCCGGGGCAGCCACUCCAGCCCCAGCCCAGCCUGGGGUGCACUGACGGAGAUGCGGACUCCUGGGUCCCUGGCCAAGAAGCCAGGAGAGGGACGGCUGAUGGACUCAGCAUCGGAAGGUGGCGGUGACCGAGGGGGUGGGGACUGAGCCGCCCGCCUCUGCCGCCCACCACCAUCUCAGGAAAGGCUGUUGUGCUGGUGCCCGUUCCAGCUGCAGGGGUGACACUGGGAGGGGGGGGCUCUCCUCUCGGUGCUCCUUCACUCUGGGCCUGGCCUCAGGCCCCUGGUGCUUCCCCCCCUCCUCCUGGGAGGGGGCCCGUGAAGAGCAAAUGAGCCAAACGUGACCACUAGCCUCCUGGAGCCAGAGAGUGGGGCUCGUUUGCCGGUUGCUCCAGCCCGGCGCCCAGCCAUCUUCCCUGAGCCAGCCGGCGGGUGGUGGGCAUGCCUGCCUCACCUUCAUCAGGGGGUGGCCAGGAGGGGCCCAGACUGUGAAUCCUGUGCUCUGCCCGUGACCGCCCCCCGCCCCAUCAAUCCCAUUGCAUAGGUUUAGAGAGAGCACGUGUGACCACUGGCAUUCAUUUGGGGGGUGGGAGAUUUUGGCUGAAGCCGCCCCAGCCUUAGUCCCCAGGGCCAAGCGCUGGGGGGAAGACGGGGAGUCAGGGAGGGGGGGAAAUCUCGGAAGAGGGAGGAGUCUGGGAGUGGGGAGGGAUGGCCCAGCCUGUAAGAUACUGUAUAUGCGCUGCUGUAGAUACCGGAAUGAAUUUUCUGUACAUGUUUGGUUAAUUUUUUUUGUACAUGAUUUUUGUAUGUUUCCUUUUCAAUAAAAUCAGAUUGGAACAGUG